rnacentral:rRNA from 1 species
UGAAGUAAGUAAGGGCGUACGGUGAAUGCCUUGGUGCCAACAGGCGAAGAAGGACGCGGCAAGCUGCGAAAAACCUCGGGAAGCUGCAAGCAAGCGAUGAUCCGGGGGUGUCCGAAUGGGGUAACCUGACUGGGGUAAUACCUGGUCGUUCAUACCUGAAUACAUAGGGUAUGAAACGCAAUACCCGCUGAAGUGAAACAUCUCAGUAAGCGGAGGAAAAGAAAGAGAAAUCGAUUCCGUAAGUAGUGGCGAGCGAAAGCGGAUGGAGCCCAAACCGAAGGUACUCCUUCGGGGUUGUAGGACCACGACAUAUUCGACCAUAGUGGAUAGUAGAACAGUCUGGAAAGGCUGGCCAUAGAAGGUGAAAGCCCUGUAGACGAAAUCCAGAGUGGGAAUUAGUGGUAUCCUGAGUAAUACAUCACACGUGGAACGAUGUAUGAAUCAGCGCGGACCACCGCGCAAGGCUAAAUACUAGUUGGCGACCGAUAGUGAACAAGUACCGCGAGGGAAAGGUGAAAAGAACCGCUGUGAGCGGAGUGAAAUAGAACCUGAAACCGUAUGUCUACAAAGUGUCAGAGCAGAGCGAUCUGCGAUGGCGUGCCUUUUGUUUAAUGAGUCUGCGAGUCAGUGUUUGUGGCAAGACUAAGGGCUUCCGGCCCGGAGUCGCAGCGAAAGCAAGUCCGAAUAGGGCGAAUUAAGUCGCAGGUACUGGACCCGAAGCGGAGGUGACCUACCCUUGGCCAGGUUGAAGCAUGGGUAAAACCAUGUGGAGGACCGAACAGGUGAACGUUGAAAAGUUCUCUGAUGAGCUGAGGGUAGGAGUGAAAGGCUAAUCAAACCCCGUGAUAGCUGGUUCUCUUCGAAAUGCAUUUAGGUGCAGCGUCACGUGCUGAUGCGCGGGGGUAGAGCACUGACAAGGCUAGGGGGCACACCCGCUUACCAAACCUUAUCAAACUCCGAAUACCGUGCAAUGGAACGUGGCAGUGAGACAGUGGGGGAUAAGCUUCAUUGUCGAGAGGGAAACAACCCAGACCAGCAGCUAAGGUGCCUAAAUAACGCUGAGUGGAAAGGAUGUGGGAUUACACAGACAGUGAGGAUGUUGGCUUAGAAGCAGCCACCAUUUAAAAAAUGCGUAAUAGCUUACUCAUCGAGUGAUCCUGCGCCGAAAAUGAUUGGCGAUCAAGCGUUAUACCGAAGCUCUGGACUUUGCCGCAAGGCAGAGUGGUAGAAGAGCGUUGCAUGCGCAUUGAAGGGUGAUGGCGACUGACCCUGGAGCGCAUGCAAGUGAGUAUGCAGACAUGAGUAACGUAAAGCCGGGUGAAAUCCCCGGCCGCCGUAAACCCGAGGUUUCCAGGGCAACGUGUUUCGUCCCUGGGUUAGCCGGGACCUAAGCCGAGGCCGAGAGGCGUAGGCGAUGGAUAUCAGGUUAAUAAUCCUGAGCUCGCGACCCUUAAACUGGGGGGACGCAUGAGAAGAGAUGACCAGGUUAUUGAAUUCCGAGCUGGGUCCACGGACCCAGCGCAUCAUCAAAUCGAGUGCCAAGAAAAGCCCCAGCGUAUGCUAAGCGACCCGUACCGCAAACCGACACAGGUGGGUGGGUAGAAUAUACCAAGGCGUAAGAGUGAAACCUGGUUAAGGAACUCGGCAAAUUAGCCCCGUAACUUCGGAAGAAGGGGUGCCUGCAGCGAUGCAGGCCGCAGAGAAAUGGCCCAACCGACUGUUUAUCAAAAACACAGCACUCUGCAAAGACGCAAGUCGAAGUAUAGGGUGUGACACGUGACCAAUGCCGAAAGAUUAAGGCAAGGGGUUAGCCGCAAGGCGAAGCUCUGAACCCAAGUCCCGGUGAAUGUCGGCCGUAACUAUAACGGUCCUAAGGUAGCGAAAUUCCUUGUCGGGUAAGUUCCGACCUGCACGAAUCGUGAAACGAGUUGGGCACUGUCUCAACCAGGCGCUCAGUGAAAUUGUAGUGGCGGUGAAGAUGCCGCCUACCCGCAGAAGGACGGAAAGACCCUAUAGACCUUAACUGUAAGCUGUCAUUGUUUCUUCGGUUUUAAUGCUCAGAGUAAGUGGGAGACGCUGAAGAUGCCCUUUAGGGGGCAUCCGAGUCAUCAAUGAGACACCACCCUUUGAAACUGGAGGAUCUAACCCUGAGCCGUGAAUCCGGCCAGAGGACCGUGUCAGCCGGUCAGUUUUACUGGGGCGGUAUCCUCCCAAAGAGUAACGGAGGAGCGCGAAGGUGGGCUCAGCCCGGUUGGCAACCGGGUGUCGAGUGCAUGGGCAUAAGCCCGCCUAACUGUGAGACCAACAAGUCGAGCAGAUGCGAAAGCAGGCCCAAGUGAUCCGGCGGUAGAAAGUGGAAUUGCCGUCGCUCAACGGAUAAAAGGUACCUUAGGGAUAACAGGCUGAUCACGCCCAAGAGUUCAUAUCGACGGCGUGGUUUGGCACCUCGAUGUCGGCUCGUCGCAUCCUGGGGCUGGAGAAGGUCCCAAGGGUCCGGCUGUUCGCCGGUUAAAGCGGCACGCGAGCUGGGUUCAGAACGUCGCGAGACAGUUCGGUCCUCUAUCCUCUGUGGGCGUUGGAAAAUUGAGGGGUUCAGACCUUAGUACGAGAGGACCGGGUCUGACGCACCACUGGUGCAUCGGUUGUACUGUCAAGUGCAUGGCCGAGUAGCUAAGUGCGGAAGGGAUAAGCGCUGAAAGCAUCUAAGCGCCAAGCCCAUCCCAAGAUGAGUUUUCCCUAUAGGUUCGUGGAAGACCACCACGUCGAUAGGUCGCAGGUGUAAGUGCAGCAAUGUAUUGAGCCAAGCGAUACUAAUCACCGAUAGACUUCAUCAU